rnacentral:miRNA from 10 species
CCUCGUAGCAGUGUUCUGGAAUCCUACAUGAGGUACAAAUCCUCAGAACCUAGCAGCAGCGUUCUGGAAUUCUAUGUGAGGG